UUAGCAUAUCAAUAAGCGGAGGAAAAGAAACCAACAGGGAUUGCCCUAGUAACGGCGAGUGAAGCGGCAACAGCUCAAAUUUGAAAUCUGGCUCUUUUAGAGUCCGAGUUGUAAUUUGCAGAGGGCGCUUUGGCUUUGGCAGCGGUCCAAGUUCCUUGGAACAGGACGUCACAGAGGGUGAGAAUCCCGUACGUGGUCGCUAGCUAUUGCCGUGUAAAGCCCCUUCGACGAGUCGAGUUGUUUGGGAAUGCAGCUCUAAAUGGGAGGUAAAUUUCUUCUAAAGCUAAAUAUUGGCCAGAGACCGAUAGCGCACAAGUAGAGUGAUCGAAAGAUGAAAAGCACUUUGGAAAGAGAGUCAAACAGCACGUGAAAUUGUUGAAAGGGAAGCGCUUGCAGCCAGACUUGCUUGCAGUUGCUCAUCCGGGCUUUUGCCCGGUGCACUCUUCUGUAGGCAGGCCAGCAUCAGUUUGGGCGGUGGGAUAAAGGUCUCUGUCACGUACCUCUCUUCGGAGAGGCCUUAUAGGGGAGACGACAUACCACCAGCCUAGACUGAGGUCCGCGCAUCUGCUAGGAUGCUGGCGUAAUGGCUGUAAGCGGCCCGUCUUGAAACACGGACCAAGGAGUCUAACAUCUAUGCGAGUGUUUGGGUGUCAAGCCCGAGCGCGUAAUGAAAGUGAACGGAGGUGGGAACCCGCAAGGGUGCACCAUCGACCGAUCCUGAAGUUUUCGGAAGGAUUUGAGUAAGAGCAUGGCUGUUGGGACCCGAAAGAUGGUGAACUAUGCUUGAAUAGGGUGAAGCCAGAGGAAACUCUGGUGGAGGCUCGCAGCGGUUCUGACGUGCAAAUCGAUCGUCAAAUUUGGGCAUAGGGGCGAAAGACUAAUCGAACUAUCUAGUAGCUGGUUCCUGCCGAAGUU
rnacentral:rRNA from 1 species